rnacentral:rRNA from 1 species
GACGAACGCUGGCGGCGUGCUUAACACAUGCAAGUCGAACGGAAAGGCCCUGCUUUUGUGGGGUGCUCGAGUGGCGAACGGGUGAGUAACACGUGAGUAACCUGCCCUUGACUUUGGGAUAACUUCGUGAAACUGGGGCUAAUACCGGAUAGGAGCUCCUGCUGCAUGGUGUAGGUUGGUAAGUUUCGGCGGUUGGGGAUGGACUCGCGGCUUAUCAGCUUGUUGGUGGGGUAGUGGCUUACCAAGGCUUUGACGGGUAGUCGGCCUGAGAGGGUGACCGGCCACAGUGGGACUGAGAUACGGCCCAGACUCCUACGGGAGGCAGCAGUGGGGAAUAUUGCACAAUGGGCGGAAGCCUGAUGCAGCAACGCCGCGUGCGUGAUGACGGCCUUCGGGGUGUAAACCGCUUUCGCCUGUGACGAAGCGUGAGUGACGGUAAUGGGUAAAGAAGCACCGGCUAACUACGUG